GACGAACGCUGGCGGCGUGCCUGACACAUGCAAGUCGGACGGUUCUUGCACCUUCAAGCUUGCUUGCUGGUGCAGGGAUAGUGGCGGAACGGGUGAGUAACGCGUGAACAUCUACCCAUUGGAGGGGGACAACCCGUCGAAAGGCGGGCUAAUACCGCGUAAGCCGUGAGGUGAGAGGCUGCCUAUUGGUGGCCGCCGAUGGAUGGGUUCGCGUCCUAUCAGCUGGUUGGUGGGUAACGGCCUACCAAGGCGAAGACGGGUAGCCGGUCUGAGAGGAUGGCCGGCCACACUGGAACUGAGACACGGUCCAGACUCCUACGGGAGGCAGCAGUGGGGAAUAUUGGGCAAUGGGGGUAACCCUGACCCAGCGACGCCGCGUGAGGGACGAAGGUUUUCGGAUUGUAAAGCUCUGUCUUCCGGGACGAUAAUGACGGUACCGGAGGAGGAAGCCACGGCUAACUACGUG
rnacentral:rRNA from 1 species